rnacentral:rRNA from 1 species
UACGGAGGAUCCGAGCGUUAUCCGGAUUUAUUGGGCUUAAAGGGUGCGUAGGCGGCCUGUUAAGUCAGGGGUGAAAGACGGUAGCUCAACUAUCGCAGUGCCCUUGAUACUGAUGGGCUUGAAUGUACUAGAGGUAGGCGGAAUGUGACAAGUAGCGGUGAAAUGCAUAGAUAUGUCACAGAACACCAAUUGCGAAGGCAGCUUACUAUGGUAUUAUUGACGCUGAGGCACGAAAGCGUGGGGAUCAAACAGG